rnacentral:rRNA from 1 species
CCUACGGGUGGCAGCAGUAGGGAAUAUUGCUCAAUGGGGGAAACCCUGAAGCAGCAACGCCGCGUGGAGGAUGAAGGUUUUCGGAUUGUAAACUCCUUUUGUUAGAGAAGAUAAUGACGGUAUCUAACGAAUAAGCACCGGAUAACGCCGUGCCAGCAGCCGCGGUAAUACGGAGGGUGCAAGCGUUACUCGGAAUCACUGGGCGUAAAGGGCGCGUAGGCGGGAUAGCAAGUCAGAUGUGAAAUCCUAUGGCUUAACCAUAGAACUGCAUUUGAAACUGUUGUUCUAGAGUAUGGGAGAGGUAGGUGGAAUGCUUGGGGUAGGGGUAAAAUCCGUAGAGAUCAAGAGGAAUACUCAUUGCGAAGGCGACCUGCUAGAACAUAACUGACGCUGAUGCGCGAAAGCGUGGGUAGCAAACAGGAUUAGAUACCCUUGUAGUC